rnacentral:rRNA from 1 species
UACAGAGGUCUCGAGCGUUGUUCGGAUUCAUUGGGCGUAAAGGGUGCGUAGGUGGCGCUGUAAGUCAGGUGUGAAAUUUCGGAGCUUAACUCCGAAACUGCAUUUGAUACUGCGGUGCUUGAGGACUGGAGAGGAGACUGGAAUUUACGGUGUAGCAGUGAAAUGCGUAGAUAUCGGGAGGAACACCAGUGGCGAAGGCGAUCAUCUGGGGUUGUUCUGACACUGAGGAGCGAAAGCUAGGGGAGCAAACGGG